AGGUUGUGGGUACUUCUCAAGGCCGGUUAAGGGGUCAAUAGGGUGCUUCCUUUUUUCAACCACGAAAGAAAACUACGGUAGUAAGCUGCGGGUUAACGCCCGCAAAGAUCGCUGGGACCUGCGGGUAAACGCCCACACGGACCACUGGGACCUGCGAUGGAGCGCCCGCAAAGGUCGCUGGUUCCCAAUGUAAGAAGUAGUUUUGUUUUAUCGGUGGAAAUUGUUCUUUUUACGGCUAGGAACCACGCUAGAAAAUGUGUUUCGGGAGUAUUUUAUAUAAUGAUUAGUUUUGUAUUUCAGUUUAUUUUUCUUUGCAGUACCUUUAAAAAUAUUGUCCAAAAAUUUUGCAGGCGCGUACCAAGGAUUGGCUGAGGCGGGUGCGCAGUCAUAGGUCUCAUAUGGAGAAAGCAUAGGAUUUGAAGAUUAUUUAAUAAGAAAUGACCCAUUUUUUGGCCGCCAGGGGGAGGGGGUGGUAAGGCCCGGGCUUAACUGGCUUAAAGGCAGGUACGCCGAUGUUUGUUAACCACUUAUGAGAAUUUAUUUCGCGUGUCGGUGUAAGUGAAAUUCCUAAUGUUAUUUUCCGUAGCUGAUUGGUCGCCGGAUUAAAGAAAUCCAACCUCGCCGCCCUUUUCCCCUUUUAGAUCUGGCUAUCUUUCAUUGAGAUUAGUGAAUUCUUAGAAAAAGUGUAACCAAACUACCUUUUCGUUUAUACGUCCGGACGGAAUAUUGUAGUUGUCAGCUAAAUUCAUGUAUUUAAACCUCUAGUUAAUUUUUACUUUCUUAAUGUGACCAGAAUGUUUUAGUGUUUUCAGUUAGUUUAAUGGCUUCCAUGUUAGUUUCCUUCUUGUAGUUUCCUUCUUGUUAAAUUUUACUCUGUUUUCAUAUACUCUAAAUUCCCUUUUGUUUUUGUUUGACCAAUAUAGUAGUGCGAAUAUAGUGCUGUCAGCUAGUUUCAUGGCUUUAAUCUAAGAUUCUUUACUAGAUAUUUUUUACUCUACCAUCGUUUGGCCGGGAGAUAACUUACCAUUCCCUUACCCAUUCCUUUCAUUUCUAUGACGAGUUGUUAUAAAUGAGAGAUCCAGUGUGUGGAUCAUUAUAAUGUAUUCGCAAACCGCGAGGUCUUGGCCCCUUGAGUCGCGCGAUCAUAAAACCUCUC